CUGAAGUGGCAGUGGGGCAGCGAAAGGGGGAAGUGAAGGGAGGGAGGAAAGGAGCCGAGAAUAUAGAGAAGCAAGGGGGAAGUGAGAGGAUCAUGGGACUCUCUCUGAAUGAAAAGUAGAAGCGGUCCUGUGGCCAGGGCCGUGGUGGCAGAUGAGCUGGUGCUUUGCUGACCUGUGUCUUCUGAGCUUUGUGCGCCUUGGAUUUCCCAGAAAUACAGCUGUCUGUGAUUUUUUUUUUCAUGGAACCAGCAUGGUCACUUUCCUCCUGUUUCUGAAGAUGCUCCAGAAGAGACAGCAAAAAUGAGAAGAGAAAAAGAAAGUAUUGGAGAAUUAGGAUAAGAAAUAGCUUCCCUAACUUCCCUGAUUCCAUGAUGAGGAGAAACUGGGAGGAAGUGAACGAAGUUGAAUCACACUGUGUGGCAGUUCCACCUGGGGCAGCCUGGAAAGCAGGCUGGGCACUAGAGGUGGAGAAACUGUCUUGCACACCUGAGAGUCGCCAUGAAGAGAAACAUCAGUGGCCCAACAAUGACUGGACAAAAAGUACCAAAGCAGCCUGAGCUGCUGGAGAUGUUAUGGCAGAGAAACACUAGCAUAGGA